rnacentral:rRNA from 1 species
CUACACAUGCAGUCGAGCGGAUGAGGGAGCUUGCUCCUGGAUUCAGCGGCGGACGGGUGAGUAAUGCUUAGGAAUCUGCCUAUUAGUGGGGGACAACAUUUCGAAAGGGAUGCUAAUACCGCAUACGCCCUACGGGGGAAAGCAGGGGAUCUUCGGACCUUGCGCUAAUAGAUGAGCCUAAGUCAGAUUAGCUAGUUGGUGGGGUAAAGGCCUACCAAGGCGACGAUCUGUAGCGGGUCUGAGAGGAUGAUCCGCCACACUGGGACUGAGACACGGCCCAGACUCCUACGGGAGGCAGCAGUGGGGAAUAUUGGACAAUGGGGGGAACCCUGAUCCAGCCAUGCCGCGUGUGUGAAGAAGGCCUUUUGGUUGUAAAGCACUUUAAGCGAGGAGGAGGCUCUUCUAGUAAUACCUAGGAUGAGUGGACGUACUCGCAGAUAGCACGCUAACUCUGUGCAGCAGCGCGUAUACAGAGGUGCGAGCGUAUCGAUUACUGGCGUAAGCGUACGUAGCGCUUUAGUCGAUGUGAAUCCUGAGCUACUAGAUGCAUCGAUACUGG